GACAGAGGGGGCAAGCGUUGCUCGGAAUCACUGGGCGUAAAGGGCUCGUAGGCGGCCAACUAAGUCAGACGUGAAAUCCCUCGGCUUAACCGGGGAACUGCGUCUGAUACUGGAUGGCUUGAGUUUGGGAGAGGGAUGCGGAAUUCCAGGUGUAGCGGUGAAAUGCGUAGAUAUCUGGAGGAACACCGGUGGCGAAGGCGGCAUCCUGGACCAACACUGACGCUGAGGAGCGAAAGCCAGGGGAGCAAACGGG
rnacentral:rRNA from 1 species